UGUGGUAACCACUCACUAUCAGGUAUGC
rnacentral:sRNA from 1 species